CUUAAGGACACAUGAUAUGUGUGACAUGUCAUGAUUCCAUUUUAUUCCAGAAGUUUGGUCCUUAAAGGGUUAAAUAAGACAAAACCAGGGUUUUUGCUGCUCGAGGCUCAGAGACGCUUAUGUGGCCCCAUCAUGUACACAUACAGGUACAUACACUGACACACGUACACACAGGCAGAUACACGGACCCAUACAAUUACACACAGACAGAUACAUACAGUCAUAAAUUUACACAAACAUAUGCAUAGUUUUUAUGGUAGUCUUGUAAAAGGUGAGCAGGAUCCCUGGUGGUCCAAUGAAGAAGCAUUAUGGUCUGCUCCAAUAUCAGGUGCAGAACACUUUUAGAUUCCAGCAGUCAGUUUAUGACUCAAAGCACUGGCUAUGGUGCUCUGAGUCAUUGAGAAGACUUGGG